AACGAACGCUGGCGGCAUGCCUAACACAUGCAAGUCGAACGAGAUCUUCGGGUCUAGUGGCGCACGGGUGCGUAACGCGUGGGAAUCUGCCCUUUGCUUCGGAAUAACAGUGAGAAAUUACUGCUAAUACCGGAUGAUGUCUUCGGACCAAAGAUUUACCGGCAAGGGAUGAGCCCGCGUAGGAUUAGGUAGUUGGUGGGGUAAUGGCCUACCAAGCCGACGAUCCUUAGCUGGUCUGAGAGGAUGAUCAGCCACACUGGGACUGAGACACGGGCCAGAAUCCUACGGGAUGCAGCAGUGGUGGAUAUUGGACAAUGGGGGAAACCCUGAUCCAGCAAUGCCGCUUGAGUGAUGAAGGCCUUAGGGUUGUAAAGCUCUUUUACCAGGGAUGAUAAUGACAGUACCUGGAGAAUAAGCUCCGGCUAACUCUGUGCCAGCCGCCGCAGUAAAAC
rnacentral:rRNA from 1 species